UUUAAAUUUCUGUUUCCAGCUAAAGAACUUCAUGAAGAGCUAUGAUGGGGUAGCUGCUGCCUCUUUCUCACGUGCUGUGGAAACCGUUGAAGCCAAUGUGCGCUGGAAAAUGCUUUAUCAAGAUGAGCUCUUCCAAUGGCUGGGGAAAGCUCUGAGGCACUAAUAUGUGUCUCUUAUAAAAAAAAAAAAGACUGAGAUUUUUGGAAGAGGACCUGUUUUAUGUGGAAUGAGGAAAACAUGCUGUGUAAAAAAAAAAAAAUGGCCAGAUUUUCAGUGUUAACGUGUGGGAGGAUUUUUUUUUUUUUUUACUCUUUAGUUUGGGGGAUUAAUUUUUGUUUCAUUCAUUCACUUUUGUUUCUUUAUUGGGUGUUCUUUAGAGAAACUCUUGCAAGUGAAACUUGCCAUGGUUGCUUCAGCUGUACAUUCCUUGCUGUACAGGACCAAAUAUGAUAGUGAUGCAUGUUGAUGUUGCAGUCAGUUUGGAAAAAAAAAAUCAUAUUCAGAAUAUUCUGUGCAUGGAUGUAUGGUCCUGCCUGUGUUCCAGCAUGCUUAUUUAAAAUGUCCAAUGUUGUAUGUGAAUAUAUGUUCCAUCCAGGAUGGGCAUUAUGCAAAAGCACAAAGAUUAUCUAUGACAAUCAGUGUUGCAAUGAAAGAAAAACUAAAAAGGGUAGUUAGAUUCUUAGUGUUAGACAAUGGGAGAGAUAAAAUAACCCUUUAAGUGAACAGUGUCAUUUAUUUCAGCACUUGGAUUGUCUGGCAAUGAUUACUGUGUUACUAACUCACUUUCUUUGAGUUAAAGCUCUGUACACAUUUAAAAAGGCAUAUAGAUAGUGUAUACAUAUGUAUAUGUACAUAGGGAAGCCCCGUAUGUAUAUAGUAUGUUGUACACUGCACACGUGCAAAGAAUCUCUUAAAUCUAAGAAAAUUUAUCUCUUUUUAUAAAUGUGUAGAUGUUUGGAAAAGGGUUAGAGGAAUUUAUCUCAACAUUAUCCUUCCUAUUUCCUAACUAAAUUUCUCAACUUAUUUUUCAUUUACUUUCUGAAGUAUGGUUUACUCUACUACAUGAAGAUGAAUCCUAACAAAAUUUAUUGUGUAAACCAUUCUUCUAAGUCUCCUAAAUCAGUAGCAGCCAUGCAUAUAGAUUGUGUCAUCAUUGGUCAGAUGUUCUAUUCAGUAUAAUAAUUGUGUAAACUUAGUACUGCCAAUACUGAGAAAGUGUUUAUUUUCCAUCUUGUUUGUCCAUCUCAUGUUGGAGAGUUAAAGUUGCUCUCUGUGUGUUGGUCUUUAUGUCUGUGUUGCUCCAAUCCUCCAUUAAGCAACCAUACCUCAAUAGGUCUAUUAGCAUUUAAUGACCUUUUAUGCCACUUGUGCCAUCCCUUGAGAUAAGAAGUUUCUUUUCAUGUGUUAAUGUACAAAGUCUUUCCUUUAGUAUUGACAACUCUAUUCUACCUGGGAAUUUUGAAUAGCCAUUGGCUUUGUAUUACAUAACAAAAUAUUUUUAAAUGAUAUUUUCACCCAGUAGGCCAACUCUUUAAACACUACUUAGAUGCUUCAGAAUUAACAUAUUUUAAAUUUACCAUUAUUAAAUACCAAUACAACUACUAUACUUAAGCCAAAUUUUUGUGGACCACUUCCUAUUUUCCUGAGGUGUUCCAUUCCUCCAAACCUUGCAAAUCAUUGAAACAUGUGUUCUGAAAUUAAGUCACUGAAUACUGAAAAGACCCUUAGACGUAUAUGAGACUGGAGCCAUAGAAUUAUUUUAAGUUUAUAGAAAAGAAGAGCAAUUUCAUAACCCAUAGAAUAAGUACCACCUAAAAUUGAAUUUUACUAUUUAAGCAUUUGCUACUUUACUCAUACCUAAAAUGUUCAGUAUUUUGUUCAAUUGAAGCACAUGAAUUUUAAAUAUUCUGUGUAGUCUUAAUAAAACAUGAAAAUGCUUCGUAUAAAAUCUAAAAGUUAUACCACCCAUCAGAAGCAAUGGAAUCCAAUUACUACAUGUCAAAUUUACAAAUUCCUUAAGGGGAAAGUUCUAAAACAUGAUAAUACCAUCACAUUGCUGUGUAGGUCCCAGAUAUUCAUGUAAUAGAGAUGAUAAAAAUUAGAGGUGGAUAUUCUUGUUUUGUGUCAUGAAUUACUGAAAAUUCCUAGUAGCUGUGGCAUUGUGUGUAUGUGUGUGUGUCUGUGUCUGUGUCUGUGUGUGAGUGAAAUCACCAUUUUCAAAUUUGAGUUAGAAAGGCUUUUACAGUUCUUUUUCCUCCCCACUGUUAAUAAUCAUAAUCCUCUUUCAGUAUUUUAGUGGCCUUGAACAACUGGUUUAGCUACAAUAUCAAAUCCCAAGUGUAUAACUAUGUGCAAUGUUAAUACCUCAUAUAAUAAUUGUUCAACAGUAUAGUGGUACCAAUGGCAUUGAGAUGGCAUUUUUGUUCUACAUAUUUUUCAGUAAUUUAACCUUUCCAAUGUUGAAAUUAUAUCAGGCUUUAACGUUUUUUA
rnacentral:lncRNA from 1 species